rnacentral:rRNA from 1 species
UACGUAGGGGGCAAGCGUUGUCCGGAUUUAUUGGGCGUAAAGAGCGUGUAGGCGGCCAGACAGGUCUGCUGUGAAAACUCGAGGCUCAACCUCGAGACGCCGGUGGAAACCGUCUGGCUAGAGUCCGGAAGAGGAGAGUGGAAUUCCUGGUGUAGCGGUGAAAAUGCGCAGAUAUCAGGAAGAACACCCGUGGCUAAGGCGGCUCUCUAGUACGGUACUGACGCUGAGACGCGAAAGCGUGGGGAGCGAGCAGG